rnacentral:misc_RNA from 1 species
GAACGCACAUUGCGCCCUUCGGUAUUCCGUUGGGCAUGCCUGUUCGUGCGUCAUUUAAUCAUUCAAGCUCUGCUUGGUGUUGGGUGUUUGUUCCGCCUCAGCGCGUGGACUCGCCUUAAAUUCAUUGGCAGCCGGUAUGUUGGCUUCGUGCGCAGCACAUUGCGUCGCGAUUCUGGCAGGCCUCCUCCCAUUAAGCUUCUUUUAAGUUUGACCUCGGAUCAGGUAGGGAUACCCGCUGAACUUA